GUGCUCGAUUUGGCAACACAUAUACUAAAAUUGGAAUAAUACAGAGAUUAGUGUGGUCCCUGCACAAGGAUGACACACAAGUUUGUGAAGCAUUCUAUAUAUAU
ensembl:snRNA U6 U6 spliceosomal RNA